rnacentral:rRNA from 1 species
CGCGGCCUAUCAGCUUGUUGGUGAGGUAAUGGCUCACCAAGGCUUCGACGGGUAGCCGGCCUGAGAGGGCGACCGGCCACACUGGGACUGAGAUACGGCCCAGACUCCUACGGGAGGCAGCAGUGGGGAAUAUUGCACAAUGGGCGCAAGCCUGAUGCAGCAACGCCGCGUGCGGGAUGACGGCCUCCGGGUUGUAAACCGCUUUCAGUAGGGACGAAGCUAACGUGACGGUACCUACAGAAGAAGGACCGGCUAACUACGUGCCAGCAGCCGCGGUGAUACGUAGGGUCCGAGCGUUGUCCGGAAUUAUUGGGCGUAAAGGGUUUGUAGGCGGUCCGUCGCGUCAGGAGUGAAAACUCGGGGCUUAACCCCGAGCCUGCUUUUGAUACGGGCGGACUAGAGGGAUGCAGGGGAGAACGGAAUUCCUGGUGGAGCGGUGGAAUGCGCAGAUAUCAGGAGGAACACCGGUGGCGAAGGCGGUUCUCUGGGCAUCACCUGACGCUGAGAAGCGAAAGCGUGGGGAGCAAACAGGCUUAGAUACCCUGGUAGUCCACGCCGUAAACGGUGGGCACUAGGUGUGGGGGACAUUCCACGUUCUCCGUGCCGAAGCUGACGCAUUAAGUGCCCCGCCUGGGGAGUACGG